CCUACGGGAGGCAGCAGUAAGGAAUAUUGGUCAAUGGGCGAAAGUCUGAACCAGCCAUGCCGCGUGAAGGAUUAAGGCCCUCUGGGUUGUAAACUUCUUUUAUCUGGGACGAAAAAAGGGUAUUCUUACUCACUUGACGGUACCAGAGGAAUAAGCACCGGCUAACUCCGUGCCAGCAGCCGCGGUAAUACGGAGGGUGCAAGCGUUAUCCGGAUUUACUGGGUUUAAAGGGUGCGUAGGUGGGCUUGUAAGUCAGUGGUGAAAUCUCCGGGCUUAACCCGGAAACUGCCAUUGAUACUAUAGGUCUUGAAUUAUCUGGAGGUAAGCGGAAUAUGUCAUGUAGCGGUGAAAUGCUUAGAUAUGACAUAGAACACCAAUUGCGAAGGCAGCUUACUACGGAUAUAUUGACACUGAGGCACGAAAGCGUGGGGAUCAAACAGGAUUAGAUACCCUGGUAGUCCACGCCCUAAACGAUGGAUACUCGACAUCAGCGAUACACUGUUGGUGUCUGAGCGAAAGCAUUAAGUAUCCACCUGGGAAGUACGAUCGCAAGAUUGAAACUUCAAAGGAAUUGACGG
rnacentral:rRNA from 1 species